UGUUCAUAGCAACAUUAUUCAUAAUAGCCAGAACCUGGAAACAACCUAGAAGACCCUCAGCUGAAGAAUCUUAGAAGGGAUUGUUGCUCAAGAAGUUCCCUGAAGAGGGGAUAUUUUAAAAACUACUGAUAUCUUUGUGUAAAUAGUUCCUGGAGAGCCCAUGAAACAGCUGCCAAACAUCCCGAAUCCAGAUGCAGAUGCUCUCUAAGGAGAGAAAAACCUAGAUGUGAGGAUGCCAACAUGCUGCUCAUUACUCAGUCUUUCAUUUAUACAAAAGCCUAAUUAUAAAAAUAAACAAUUGGAUCUGUCUAACCCAUCACAUCUGCCAGCUGUAGAGGAAUGGAACCACAGCAACAUGGAGGCAUGUUGUAAGAAGGAAUGAAACUGAAUUCUGCCUAAGAUGACCCAGGAAGCAUCUCAAGCUAUUAGCUCAAGCUUAGCACUCCACAGAAAGGAAAGAGAGCAGAGCUGCACAGAAACAGAACCUUGUGCUAACUCACUACUUCAGCUGCAUGGCUAAGAGCAAGAAGAGGGAGCCAUUUUCAAUUGCUUGACACUGUGCUGUGACCCUGAACAACGCCUGGCUAUAUUCCGCCCUGCCAUAGACUGAAGCAACUUCGUUAUAAACCAAUG